ACACACAGCCACAGUUUCCAGGAAGAGGGUGGUCUUUAUUCAGCAGCAGCUCCUCCAGCAGAGCAUGAUCAGUGGUCAGACCAGUGAGAGCUACAAUGAUGGAAACAUCUCUUCAUUAUCUGCUCUUUCUGACUUCACUGGUUUGCCUCAUAACUGAUACAGCUGCUCUGACUGUGAGUCCCAGCAGAUCUCAGUUCUUUCAGUUUGACUCUGUGUUUCUGAGCUGUGAGGAGAACAACAGCUCUGCUGGAUGGACUGUAUGGAGGAACACA